GUUAGAACUGUUUUCCAUUCAUGAUAUAACAUGUGGAGUUAAUCUCCCAUUUUUGGAAAAAAAAGUGUACGACACUAUCAUGUUUUGGUAGAGGAUCUGAAUGUGACGUUAAGUUUUAGACAGAUAUCACCUUAUGAAUGAAAAAAAACACCAAAAAUAUCAUUGGAACUGCACCUAUGUUUUAUCCUUUUUUUUAAAUAAACAAUUCAAUUACAAAAAUUAAAAUAAAAAA
rnacentral:lncRNA from 1 species